GAAAUUACUAAAUGCAAAGGAAAGAAUCCUAUCAUGGAACAUCAAAAUGACAGAAGCUGUUACCAAAAUAUCUGUACGAUGGUUUUAGUUGUGUUAAAUCAGUAUGCUAAACUGCGUUAGACAGGGCUGAACAAAUAGGAAUCGAAGACGUCUCUUCAAGGAGCGGGAAAGGCACACCUAAGGCAAUUAUCACAGAAACAUUGAGAGAACUGCUGUUUCAGUGCGUGGAGCUCCUUGAACAUGGAAGAUGGAAUCAUUAACUAGACCGGCAUUGUCGUGAAAGAUGCCACGCUGUCUUAAAGAAGAAUUUUAUAUUGCUGUCAGGAGAAAAUCACUUGCAGUUCUUUGAGAUGUCAAAAUCCUGUCAUUUCUGCAGAUGUGGCCCAUUGUGACUCAGGAUAUGAGGUAUCAAGAUGGAAAUUAAAGCUAUUUGCUUUUACUCCAGUCAAAACCAUCUCUUCUCUCUACUUCUGAGCAUGGCUCUGUUCUCCCACACACAAAAUGCUGUCCUGGGAAGAAAUCCAAAUCCUCUCCAAUGCCUACUGCAUCUCUGCAGCUCGAUUGGAAUGAGCGUUCAGAGAUUUGUGUCUCCUUUUUACUGCCAAGAUUCACAGGUGUGGCCAGGAUGUUCUAUGAACAUGUGCAUCACAAUGUUACAAUGACUAAACUCAUUGGGUGUGCAAGAAACAUACUAUACACGAAUCACAAUCUUAUAUUUAGAAAAAAUUAUUCUAGCCACAGUUUUAAAUUGCUUGACUCUCUUCAUACUUAAAAAGUCAAAGAAACAUGUUAUAUCGAGCAAAAUAAUUACAUUCAUCCAGAAAAAGUAAAUGUAAUGGCAAUUGCCACAAUUAUACCCUUGCUAAAAAAAAUGAAAAGUAGAAAAGAAAUUCCUAAGACUAAAAAAAAAAAAAAGAAAGAAAGAAAAAAAGACAAUGAAAACAAAGUUCAUUAUUGCCAGAAUAUCAAGGAGAACAUUUCCUGUAAGAGGGAGAGGAGACUUUAUAUAACUGUGAUUUUCUUAAAUAAGAUGGUGAAACUAUGAAAAUAAAGCUUCAAAUUAUUGUUUUCA
rnacentral:lncRNA from 1 species